rnacentral:rRNA from 1 species
GGAUAACGCUAGCGGGAGGCUGACCACAUGGUUAAUCCGAGCGGUAGAGAUCUUCGGAAUCUUGAGAGCGGCGCACGGGUGCGGAACACUGUGUGCAACCUGCCUUUAUCUGGGGGAUAGCCUUUCGAAAGGGAGAUUAAUACCCCAUAAUAUACUGAGUGGCAUCACUUAUUAUUGAAAACUCCGGUGGAUAGAGAUGGGCACGCGCAAGAUUAGAUAGUUGGUGAGGUAACGGCUCACCAAGUCAAUGAUCUUUAGGGGGCCUGAGAGGGUGAUCCCCCACACUGGUACUGAGACACGGACCAAGACUCCUACGGGAGGCAGCAGUGAGGAAUAUUGGACAAUGGGUGAGAGCCUGAUCCAGCCAUCCCGCGUGAAGGACGACGGCCCUAUGGGUUGUAAACUUCUUUUGUACAGGGGAUAAACCUUUCCACGUGUGGAAAGCUGAAGGUACUGUACGAAUAAGCACCGGCUAACUCCGUGCCAGCAGCCGACGGUAAUACGGAGGGUGCAAGCGUUAUCCGGAUUUAUUGGGUUUAAGGGUCCGUACGCGGGAUCUGUAAAGUCAGUGGUGAAAAUCUCAUAAGCUUAACUAUGAAAAACUGCCCAUUUGAUACUGCCAGGGUCUUGAAGUAACGGUAAAAGUACGCUGGAAUAAGUAGUGUUAGCGGGUGAAAUUGCACUACGAUACUUAC